UAAUGUUCCAAUUGUUCAAGUAUUGCAUUUUAUUUAUAAACUUUUUAUUUUAUUUUUGAAUCUAGUGGAGCCGCGUUUUAGGAGACGGGCAGAUGGAAGCCUGAACUUAACUAACACCAUAGAAGCAUCAGAGCUACAACAGAUCUUUCAUCGGGGCCCACAGUCCAGCUCAGUGUCUGUAACAGGGUGGUGGAGGCGUCUUCCUGACACUCUCUACCCAAAUGCCGUGCACUGUGAUGGGAAAAAGGUGUCCCGGUUCACAGUGGUGGCUCGUUUAUACAAGCACAUCUGAUAACAAACGGUGAUGAGUGAGACCACCAUCCAGCUCCCCGAAGUAAACGCUGCCACACUCACACAAUGGUACAGCAGGCGCAGCAGGGGACAGGAACAAAAAAUUCUGCUCCGGGGCGUCCCAGCUCCAGACCCACUCAUGACUGGCCAGAAAAACCUUCAGCGUUACAGAAAGGUCCUUCCCUGUUUUCAGCCAGUUUACUGCCGCUUCAUCAAUUCAUAUUGCCACCAAAUACUGCUGGGGAAGCACAACUGAAAGGGAGGCCACAACCCCAAGCCAUCUUCCCAACUCCACAACCCCAAGCCAUCUUCCCAACCGCACAGCCCCAUCCACAGCUGCACUUCCUGUCACAACUACCACCUGGCUACGUUGUCCCGUCAGGGGCUGCAUCCUCACAGGUGACAGCUGCACCUGGAUGCUCACAAUACAUACUUUCAUAUAUACCAUUAUCAUCACCAUCCACCCAGACACAAGCACACAAUGAAAGCGGACGUAGGAAACAGGUAGAAGAGCACACAGCCCAAGGAAAAAGAAAAUACACCAGAAAGACAGAUGUGAUUAUUUGCAGCAAGUGCAAAGAAAGCCGAAAAACGCCAUCACACAGGCAGUAAUUCGGCAACUGGUACUGUGGAGAAACAGAGACACAAUCAUAUGAUCAAUGGAGGGCUGUAUUGGAGAAAAAAGGCUACAGAAAAAGCAAAAAAAAAAACCAGAAAUCAAGGACCCUCCUGCUUCUUAAAAGUUAAUUAGUUGGGUUUAGUUUAUUUGGUGGUAACUUUUUUGCUGUUUUGUGUUUUUGUGUUUGGGUUUAGCAGCUUUAUUUUUUAAAACCUUCACUCUUUUGGGAAUAUUGUUAUUGC